AUGAACGCCAGCGCCACCACCAUAUCUCAUCUCUAUUUAGAUCUCAAAUCAUCUUCUCUUAACAUGGCACGGUCCCGCAAGAGUUUGAUCUUCUUCGGCUCAAGCUUCACUCACGCGACUCCAUCGAUCUUCUCUCAAAUCUCUCCACCUAGACUUCUCCUUCGCCAUAGCUUCGGUCUCAUCUCCGAUAUCAAUUCGUUCUCACCUCCGUGA